CUGUGGGAGGUUCGAUGAAAUUUCAUAUGACAUUUCGAGAAAUCACUCUACAGUUGUCUACAGUGAUUCAGUUUUCAAACGAUUCCGUGGAGUUAUUGAAUGAAAUAUCGAUAAUUAAUUCGUUUUCUUAUCAAAAUAAAGCAUAUUUUACAAAGGAGAACACUAUAUCCACACACAUAGCAAUUUGAACGUAUACGAAAAAUAAGGAAAUGCUGAAAUUGCUGGCAACUGAGAAUCUUAUAAUAUCCGAUUCAGAAGUUUAUGAAAUAUAUUCUAGGUUCUAGGUGUCAACACCGAAGGCCCGACGAAAAAGUUGUUAUUCUUUGGCCCAACAUUCAAUAUAGUAGGAUUAUGAAUAUUAUGGAUCGUACAUGGUUAUAAUUCUUUGCCUAUGAUGGAACAUGAUUGAUAGAGGUUAUGUCAAAUUGGAGAAACUUGAUUUAUUUCACAAGUCGUUGUGUAUAAGAAAAACUCGACAAUCCAUCAAAUAAUGCCUUCGUGAAUGGAGAUGUGAGAAGUGCAUUCCAACAGUACAUCAUCAGAAUGAAACAAAUAUUCCCAAACAAGGUGUAGAAGUAUUGGUUAGUACCGUUAGAAUUUGAGUAGGAAUUGCCAUUCAAAUCAUAGUGUAUUGAAAUAUUCGAUUUCUCAAUCAAGUUUUAUGAAAUGUGGCGUUCACAUAUACCUUAUAUGUUAUAUGAAGAUGUAUUUUACAAUGAAUUGAUCCAUUCUAAUGGUUUGAGACUUCCCCUCAAAAAGAACGACAUAGAUGUUUGUUGAUCACUUCAUGAGGAGUUGAUUUUAUCAGAAGGACCCUUGGAGGACAAUGCAAUUUGAGAGAGUAACCUCAGAGCACGCAGAACAAUUCAAAGGUACAUGAUCGAAGGUUAUGUCAAAUUUUACAUUUACGUAGAGUGCAAAUCAUUUAAAACUAUUCAAGAGGAUGAAAAAAGUGAUGUGGUCUGUAGAUACAGAUUCCAGUGGAUUUUGCCAGAUAUCGAAUGAUGUCAACUGAUAUUUCUACGCAGCCACUUUGGAAAAGCUAUACUAGGAUGGAAAAUCGUUUGAAGUAUCCUGAGCAAAAUUUUUACAUCUUGCAACUCUUGAAUAUUGAAAGUUAAGAAAUAUAUUAACAUAAGAUUAUCCUACUGUAAGAAACAUAUUUUUUAGGGUUUAUUUCCAAUUAUAUGUAACAUCUUUUAUAACACAGGUUUAUGCUACUGUAUAGAUAAGAUUCACAUUUCAAGAAAAUUGUAUAAUACUGGUAUAUUCUUCAAUCAAUAAAUAUUCUUAUAUUGCU